rnacentral:rRNA from 1 species
UACGGAGGGUGCGAGCGUUGUCCGGAAUCACUGGGCGUAAAGGGCGCGUAGGUGGCUCGGGCAGUCAACGGUGAAAGCUCGGGGCCCAACCCCGAAUCGGCCGUCGAUACUCCCGGGCUUGAGCACUGUAGAGGCUAAUGGAAUUCCGGGUGUAGCGGUGGAAUGCGUAGAGAUCCGGAAGAACACCGGUGGCGAAGGCGGUUAGCUGGGCAGUUGCUGACACUGAGGCGCGACAGCGUGGGGAGCAAACAGG